CGCACGCGCACCAUUGCCGCGCCGCCCUGGCUUCCAGUGCGUGCCCAGGUCCCUGCUGGCCGUUGUUCUCAGGUCCUGGCGGCUGGCGGGCCCAGAGCCGGCUCCUCGGGCCCAGUGGCCUCGUGAGGCGGAGAGGAGGGACCCCGGGAGAGGAGCGCGCCGGAGGAGCAGCCCCCGGCCGGUCUGCGAGUCCCGACGGGGUCCGCCUCCACUGUCACAGUCCUGCACGUUGUUCCAAGAGCAGCGGAAAAUGAAUCGGUCUCCGGUGCACUACUCUUGACACGAAGUUUACCUGGUGCUGUUAGGUGAAUCCAUCCAGGAUCUCUGUGAAGACCUCCAAAACUGUUAAAACAUAAGGGUAGGCACUUCCCCGGUGGUCCAGUGGUAAAGAAUCCGCCUUACAAUGCAGGGGGCCUGGGUUCAAUCCCUGGUCAGGGGACCGAGAUCCCACGUGCCGCAGGGUAACUAAGGAAUGGUGUGGAGGAGGUGAAGGAAAAGACCACGCCAAGCUCAGAGGCCCUUUCAGAUGGCAACAAACUCCUGACAUUGACUGAAAAUCAAUGUUCUUUACGUGGAACAAUCGAAGAGGCAGGAUGGGUCCUGUUAGCAAGGUCCCCUGAGAUGCCAGGUCACCUGACCCCCAGCUCCAGAUGCAGAGAUGUCCGGGACCCAGGCUUUGCUGGCCUGGGAAGGCUGAGGGUGCCCAGCUGCUGACGGGACACACGGGGCGGGGGAAGAGGUGGCUGCCGCCCAAGGCACACGAGUGUCUGUGCAGAACUGCCUCGGCUCAGCCUCCAGAAGCCUCUCUCAGAAAGCGACAGCAAGUCUUCCAGAAGCUCUGCCCAAAUUCCAUUCAGGCGUCACCGGUCACACCUGAGGCUGCCCGGAUGAAGACUGGGGGCCCACACGUUCACACACUGGAAGUUAUUACCAAAUGCAAGAGAGGGAGGGAUCAGACCAUGAACUAGUCUAAUUAUAAUGCAUAAGUAGAAUCACGCACACCUUAUUCUACUUUCCGGUUUUGCAUUUGUAAUUUCACAAAAUGUGUGAUUCGUAGUGGGGGUUGUUAGUUGCUUGUAGUUUUGCCUGAUGAGAAAAAAACAGCACAAUAAGAAAACAUUAUAGUUUUCACUUGUAAUGGGCAUAAAAAUACAUGCACUGUUGUUGAUUGAAAACAG